rnacentral:rRNA from 1 species
GUCCACGCCGUAACGAUGAUUACUCGAUGUUGGCGAUAGACAGCCAGCGUCCAAGGGAACCGAUAAGUAAUCCACCUGGGGAGUACGCCCGCAAGGGUGAACUCAAGGAAUUGACGGGGUCCGCACAAGCGGUGGAGCAUGUGGUUUAAUUCGAUGAUACGCGAGGAACCUUACCUGGGCUAGAAUGUGAAGGAAUAUUUCAGAAAUAGAGAUAGUCAGCAAUGACCUGAAACAAGGUGCUGCAUGGCUGUCGU